UACGUAGGGGGCAAGCGUUGUCCGGAAUCAUUGGGCGUAAAGAGCGUGUAGGCGGCCAGAAAAGUCCGCUGUGAAAACUCGAGGCUCAACUUCGAGCUGUCGGUGGAAACUUUCUGGCUAGAGUCCGGAAGAGGAGAAUGGAAUUCCUGGUGUAGCGGUGAAAUGCGCAGAUAUCAGGAAGAGCACCCGUGGCGAAGGCGGUUCUCUGGGACGGUACUGACACUGAGACGCGAAAGCGUGGGGAGCGAACAGG
rnacentral:rRNA from 1 species